CAAAACUACGAGAAGCUCAAUACUUGAAUCCAAUUAUCAGUUUAAAUUACCAAUUCAAAAUAAAUAAAAUAAAAUAAAGAGUGGCAAACAGGAAGGGGGAAAAAGAAGGAGAAGCGUUCCCUACUAAAUUAUGAAUGCAUAACCAUGAAUCAAAUCAAACUAUCUUGAGAACAUGAUUACCACAGCAUGAAAGAACAUGGCUAACAUACAUAGCACAAUGAAUAUGAGUCAUGACAGCCAAAGUCAACAAGGAAGCUUAAGGACAUGCGAAGACUCAAGAGUUGAGCACAACAAUUAGGUCACACAUAACCGCAAACCCAAAUGCAUGAAAUAUAACUUCCAUAAUACCAUCAAAGCAUCUGUCUAUAUGAUAAAUUCUCUGAGUCUUACCACAGGAUAUUCACCAGCUGUCAAACAGGUCAUGCACUGAUCCCAUGCCACCAAUCACGACAAAAAAGCAUAACUACUAAUUAAGUAAAUGCUUGAUGAUGCAGCUAUUCCCAUGAUUGGAAUGAAUCUAAGAAAAAGACCCUACAUCACAACGGUGAAAUUGCCUUCUAAAAUGACAUCCCUCGGAAGAGGCUUCCAUGUAUGUAGGAUCUUUAUGGGCAAUCUCAUGCUAACUUCAUGCCCACCUAAAGCCCACAAAAAAUACUGUCUGUCCAUAUUUACAGCAGAUACACACCUUAAGUGCACUGCCAAGAAUUAGGACAUUAAUGUCUACAAAUCUCCAUCUCAUUCGCCUUCGAAGGACAUGGUAUCCGAAUUUGUUUUAAAA